AUAAAGUGAAGUUAGCUUAAACUAUAAGCAGUUGAGGUGGGAGGAAACGUUAGCCAUUGUAUCUGUUGUUUGGUCUCCAGCAUCCCUAAUUAUUUAUGGUUUCUAGCUCAUCACUUUCAUAUAUAAAGGGAAAAGAAGUAGAGGAUGAAUUAGAUUUUACUUCCUUAUGAUAAUUGUUUUUUGGAACAUAAGAGGAUUAAAAACAUGUUAAUAGGAGUAAUAAAUGGCAUGUUGAAGUUCUUUAUUUGCUUGAAACAAGGGUUAAGGAGGCUAUGCAUUGGCUAUCUUGGGGAAACAUUUCAGUGGCUGGAAUUAUUUGGAUUAUUUCAAAGAAUCAUAUUGUUUCCGGAUGGAUUUGUGACUACUAGUCAAAGUAUUUAAUGUAGAUUGGAGUUUCAAAAUUCUGACUUCUUUCUUACUGCUAGUAAUGAUAGUGUGGAAAGGAGGGUUUACUGCUGUGAAUGCUCUUGUUUGGCUGGAUAAGCCUUUCAAAUUUUUGGGUUAAGCAUAGUGAUUUUAUGAGUAUUGUUGCUGAGUCUUGGCAUGAUGAGGUUGAUGGUGAUCCUUUGAUGAAAUUAUUUCUUAAGCUGAAGAGGUCUUAAAAAGGAGUUUAAAGGCUUUGAAUUCUGAGGCUUUUGGAGAUAUUUCUGAUCGGGUGCGAAAAAAGAGGGCUGAGCUUGAAGAGUUACAAAUUGCUAGCUUAAGGUGCGAUUAUAACCUCGACUGUCAGAGGCAAAUUGAAAGAGUGCAAGCUGAGGUGAAAGGGUUGCAGGGUGCUAAAGAGAGAUUUUAUCGGCAAAAGGCAAGAGUCCAGUGGCUGCAGGAAGGGGACCACAGCACUAAGUUUUUCCAUAAUGCUGUUGCAGUUAAAAAGAAUAAGCAUACUAUUCGUGCUUUGGUUGAUGAUAAGGGCGCCAAGUUGGACACGCCGGAACAAAUUGAGGUUGAGACUAUUCAGUUUUAUCAAAAUCUGCUUGGUUGUGCUGAUGCUAAGGUUGUGGGUUGUACCGAUCUGCUUCUUAGUGAUUUGUUCUGAGGAAGCACAAAAUGAUAUGGUUCGGCCUGUUACGAGGGAUGAAAUUAAACAAGCUAUCUUUGAUCAAGGUAAUGACGGGACCUGAUGGUUACACAGGUUUUUUCUUCAAGGCAGCUUGGAAUAUCGUGGCAGAUGAUUUUGUUGAUGCUGUGAAGUUUUUCUUUAUUUCUUCAAAGCUGUUGGGAGCUUUUAAUGCAACUACUGUUACCCUUAUUCCUAUCUGUGCUAAUCCUAGCCAUAUCAAGGAAUAUAGGCCUAUCUCCUGUUGUUCUCUUGUUUAUAAAUGCAUCUCUAAGAUUUUGGUUCGGAGGAAGGAACAUGGGUUUUCCCGGUCAAUUUGUUCAGUGGAUUUCAGCUUGUAGUAUUACUCCCAGGUUUUCUAUUUCCGUAAAUGGAGGUGCUAGGGGAAUAAAACAGGACACAGUUGAUUCAGUUAUUGGUAUUUGGUGCAUCCUUCAAGAGUUCUACUAUUUUUCUAGUUUGCAACUUAACGUUUCUAAGACUGAGAUCUUUGUUGCCGGUAUAUAUGGCCAAGGAUGAUCUGGUAACUGUGCAAAGGGUCACUGGUUUUAAGUUGGGAAGGCUGCUCGUAAGGUAGUUGGGUGUGCCCCUGGUUUCUAGGAAGUUGUCUAUUAAUGAAUAUGAUUGUGGUUCUCUUUUGGAGGAAAUUCAGGCAAGAGUCAAUGGAUGGGCUACUCUACAUCUUAGCUAUGUCCGUCGGUAGCAGCUUAUCUAACGGUCUUUGUAAAUAUAUCAUCUUACUUAUCAUUUUCUACUAAUUCAUCUUUUCAUGUAAGUUUUACUUUUUAUAUAUACAAGAGAACGUAACGAGUAAGAAACUUAAA